UACGGGGGGAGCAAGCGUUGUUCGGAUUUACUGGGCGUAAAGGGCGCGUAGGCGGUCGUGACAAGUCACUUGUGAAAUCUCCGGGCUUAACUCGGAACGGUCAAGUGAUACUGUCGGACUAGAGUACAGAAGGGGCAACUGGAAUUCUUGGUGUAGCGGUGAAAUGCGUAGAUAUCAAGAGGAACACCUGCGGCGAAGGCGGGUUGCUGGGCCGACACGUGACGCUGAGGCGCGAAAGCCAGGGGAGCGAACGGGG
rnacentral:rRNA from 1 species